rnacentral:rRNA from 1 species
CUCGUAGGCGGCCAACUAAGUCAGACGUGAAAUCCCUCGGCUUAACCGGGGAACUGCCUCUGAUACUGGAUGGCUUGAGGUUGGGAGAGGGAUGCGGAAUUCCAGGUGUAGCGGUGAAAUGCAUAGAUAUCUGGAGGAACACCGGUGGCGAAGGCGGCAUCCUGGACCAAAUCUGACGCUGAGGAGCGAAAGCCAGGGGAGCAAACGGGAUUAGAUACCCCGGUAGUCCUGGCCCUAAACGAUGAAUGCUUGGUGUGGCGGGUAUCGAUCCCUGCCGUGCCGAAGCUAACGCAUUAAGCAUUCCGCCUGGGGAGUACGGUCGCAAGGCUGAA